rnacentral:rRNA from 1 species
AUGUCUACCUGCCUCACUGACAUGAUUAAUGCCAAUGAGGUUGAUUUUCUUGGGUUACAGGAAACUAUGAAGAGUGUUAUACUCCUUCUUUUUUUUAGAAAAUUGGACCCACACCAAAAAUUUAUGUGGGAGUGGAAUCCCUCUAGGGGGAAAUCGGGGGGCAUCCUUUGUGGGAUCAAUAAAGAAAAGUUUGAUAUCAUGGAAGUGAAGGAUGGGAAGUUUAUUGUACAAAUCAAUCUCUUCGACAAGAGUAAGAAUUGUAGUUGGGCCUUGCUAUUAGUUUAUGGGGCAGCUCAGGAUGAAAAUAAACCGGAGUUUAUAGCUGAGAUGACAUCUAUGUGCCACAAGACCACUAUCCCUUUUAUAGUUGGUGGAGAUUUUAACAUCCUUCGUCAUAGUGGAGAGAAGAACGGGAAAACUCCUUUGUCUCAUUUCUUUGAUGUGUUCAACUCAGUUAUACACCUGUUGGGGCUGAGGGAGAUUCACAUGUCAGGAGGUUGUUACACUUGGUCGAACAAACAGGAGCACCCUACUUUGGAAAAGCUGGAUAGAAUUUUAAUGUCCUCGGACUGGGAGGACCUUUAUCCUCUUGUGUCUGUUAAAAAAUUAGUCAAGGAGAUCUCUGACCAUAAUCCUUUACUCUUGGAUGGGGGUGGCUUCAUCUAG